GACGAACGCUGGCGGCGCGCUUGACACAUGCAAGUCGAGCGAGAACCAGGGCUUCGGCCCUGGGGACAGCGGCGAACGGGUGAGUAACACGUGGGUAAUCUGCCCUCGGCACCGGAAUAGCCCGGGGAAACCCGGAUUAAUGCCGGAUGGCCACUUCACCUCGCGAGGUGUCGGGAAAAGGUAGCUUCGGCCUUUGGCCGAGGAUGAGCCCGCGGCGGAUUAGCUUGUUGGCGGGGUAACGGCCCACCAAGGAGACGAUCCGGAGCUGGUCUGAGAGGACGAUCAGCCACACGGGGACUGAGACACGGCCCAGACUCCUACGGGAGGCAGCAGUGGGGAUUCUUGCGCAAUGGGCGAAAGCCCGACGCAGCGACGCCGCGUGAGGGAAGAAGGCCUUGGGGUUGUAAACCUCUUUCAGGAGGGACGAAGCUACUCGGGUGAAUAGCCCAGAGGGUGACGGUACCUCCAGAAGAAGCCCCGGCUAACUACGUGCCUGCCGCCGCCGUAA
rnacentral:rRNA from 1 species